rnacentral:misc_RNA from 1 species
GCCCGGCUUGGCUCAAUAU